UUUCACAAUAAACCAAACUUUACAACUAAGCUAACAAUGAGCUUCUUUCAAAGGAUCAAAAUUGAUAGCACUCUUACCUAAAAAGUAUUGAAGGUCUUUAAAAUCCUUUAUCUUAAAAUUUUGAGAGAGAUUUUUCAAAAUUUUCACAUAUCCUACAACACCACUUGUGAUGAUCAAAUUAUCUAUGUCAACAACACAAAGUUUCAUUUAUAUAUUUCUUCACAAAAGUGCAUGUAUUAGUAAAAAGGAAAAUAAAAUCACUUGAAGAAAGUAUUCUCUAACCUUUGUAACCAAGAUUUAGAUGCUUGUUUUAGAUUAUGGAGUGCCUUUUUUGGUUUGCAUGAAUGCCUCAGCUUCAUAUGAUCAUAAAAUUCCAUAGGUUGAUCAAUAUAUAUGAUGAAACCCUACUCUCUCACAGAAAUGUGUGAAUAACAGCACUCCAGAUAUGCAUAUCUUUUAUCUUUCUUAUAUGUAGUUACAUGUCGAAUUUCUUCAUUCUUUAAUUCAUUACACUCAAUUCAGUUAUGGUUUGCACCAAUUCAAGAGACUGUACAUUAGCCAUUUAAUAUAUAAGACUGGAGUGAGACUAAUUACGCAUUUAAAUGUGUUGCAGGAUGUUAUUUGAAUUACUUGUUCUAACAGGUGCACAAGUUGGGAUGGAUUGGACUUUUAUCUUGAGAAAACGCCAUGAUUUCAAGGCUGCUUUCACCGGGUUUGAUGCAGAAAUUGUCGCCAACUUCACAGAAAGACAAAUAGCAUCAGUGGCCACAAAUUGCAACGUAGAUUUAAACAAGGUUCGAGGUGCCAUCAAUAAUGCUAACAGAAUCCUCCAGGUCAGAUUGUUGAUUGGACCUGAUUUUAUUUAAAUGAUCUUGAUAAUCCAUUUUAUUUAAAUGAA